CUAAUGUUUAUGAACCUUUCAGUGUUUGACUUCGCAUUGCUAACUUUUCUCUCACAUCAGACUUUUCUUAGGGUGUGGAGUUAUCUGGAAAUGUACAGAUUUCCUGGGAUUUUUAAAAAGGAAGUCACCCUUUAAGCUGAGGAAGUCACAUUCUUGAGUCCUCCUGACCACCUUUCAUAUGGAUCCUUACCAGAGAUAAGGAAUCCUAAUGCUUUUCUCAUAUAUUUUAGCUAAAGGAAUGACUGGUAGUGGUAGAAACCCAAGAGGCUUAAGUUUCCUAAAAUGCUAAACAGCAAAGCCAGACAUGUGUAAGGCAGCCUGGCCUACCAGCAUCUCUUCGUGGGUAACAUAAAACGCUCUCCUUUUUCAUUUCCUUUUCCAGUCUGAGAGGCUGAAUAUAAAUGUGAAUAUGCUCCGAGAAGAAUCAAAGUUCCAGGCCCAUAACACUGGAACAGUUUCAGUUCUUUCUGCCAGCAGACGCAGCCUUUGUUCUCAUAGCAGCUAUUCAUCUGCUUUUCAGUUGGAUGGGAAUUGCAUUCAGUCUUUUCCCAGUUCCUUUGCGGUGCUCCCUGAGGGAUACUGUCUUGAGCCUCCUGUAUGAGGAACUAAGCACUCACGCUUUUCAGGAGCUGCUGAACUUCUUAGAAGACCUAGACCAUGUAGUAAAUGACAAAGUAUUAUUCUAAUAAAAGAAUAUGUUGGAGGAGAAAAUAAUUUAAUAUUUAAGCAAAGCACUUGGAGCAGCCUAGACACUGUUCUUAAAGAGUGUCAGGCAUUUGAAAAGACACCGAGGAACAAUAAGAACAUACUUUUAAAAUCAAAACCUUAUGGAAAAAGAUUGUUGGGAUUGAGAGGAUGGAAGACAGAUUUCAGCUCUACCAGCUGUAAUUAAAACCGUAAGCUUCUGUUGGGAUCCUGUUAAAAAGAAAUCUAAGAAUCCUUAUGGAUAUCAUUAUUUGACUGAUGCACCACUGAAAGAGAGAAGAAAGCUCCAGUGUCACAAGUUGCUCCAUGUGGGCAAACUCCUUUACUCACCACAAACUUCACUAAUUUUACUAAUGAUUAGGUUAAUGCUUUGAAGGGAACUAACUGGCAGCUUUGUGGAGCCUUAGUGCUUGGCUUGGUCUCUGCUUUAUAAUUUUACUGAUAUAGACUUAUGUUGGUCGGGGGAUGUUUUAUGAUGAUGGUGAAAACACUAGAGUGGGUCUGGCAAGACAAGCAAAUAGGCUGUGCUGUAUGUCUGCUUGGUGCCUGCACUGUGCUGCUGUAGCACAUGGGAUUGAUGCAUGACUUCAUAUGCUGUGCAACAGGACUUGCAUUUGCACAGAGGUGAGGAUUGCUGGCUUCACUCCCCAGACCUGUGCUCCAGCAGAGCAGGGUCCUGCACCUGCAUCAGCCCAUCCACAGUCCCAACCGGGGGUGUAUGCACCCAUCUCACUGCAACAACUUGGAGCAUGUAGACCUCAUAGUGUGCAAGGAGACAUGGUGUCAAUGUGCAGCUGCCUGCAGAGAUCCACCAGCACUUACAAGCAGUUGCCUGCUUAUAAUUGAUAAGGGUCGUUCCAGCUCUUUGAAUGUUGAAACUGUAUAGUGUCUGACUGCCUUUACAUUGACCUGAAAUCCCACCAGCAGCAGACUGAAAACCCCAUGUGUGAGGAACAGCUGCUCAUAAGAAUAUGUGCCUCAGAACCUCCAGUAAUAGCUGGGAAAAAGAAGAGGCAUUGUCAAGCAAAGCAACAGGUUUAUUUCAUCUGUAUUAAUAAUAUAUUACAUGUAAUAGCUUUAGGCAGCUGAUACUGCUUGAGAGCAUACAAGCUCAGUGGUGAGUGUAUCAGAUGUCCCACUUAGAUGCAGAGGCUACAAAGCGACAGUCUGGGUGUAAGGGGUGCCAUUCUCAGCUGUGGACACUACACAGGAAGCAGUGUAAUGGAGGUUAUGUUUACUCUGCAGAACAAGUGUUCUCUGGGGUCUAUCGCUCAGGUCCUGAUCCUGUGAUCACCUCACUCAGUGAAGCUCUUGCAUAGCGUGAUUUCACUCUGGCCUCUGUGCUUGGGUUUCCUUUGUAUGGAAAGCAGGAUACAGGGGAUGCUGCGGACUGUAUUGCAUCCUGAUACAGCAUUGCUAUGUGGCUGCGUGUUCACCCAGGCUCCUGCAAAGGAUCCAGGCCCCCACAGUCUCGUAAUGGCACACACUAGCCCUGCUCUGCACUGCCACAUCUAGCCCUGGCUGAUAAAUUAUAGGCAGAGUACUGAAGCAGUGAAGAAAUAGCCAGUUGCUAAAUAUGAAUUAGGUUUGCAUUUGCAUUUGCUGUAAUUAGACAUAUUUAUCUUGUACUUUGACAUUGUUCCACUUAAUAAACCUCCGUUUCUUUGUAUCAUGAAAAGUGAGGUAGUAGAAGCAAUGAGAGCAGAGAAAACCAAAGUGAAUCAGUGUGGUGAAUCAGUGAACCAAAGUGAAGCUGUGAGGUGUACUGCUUCAAAUGAAAUAUGAGAUCAGAGUUGUCUGCAGGCAGUUUUCAUAGGCCUGGACACUUCAUAGACCUGGCAAGCUUAGGGGCUGGCAAGAUAUUUCCUGCUGCUCUGCAAAGGAUCAGUACAAAGGCUGGUGCUGCUGGUCACGGAACUGGGUGAACAUUUCCGUUUGAACAGGCAUGAAUGACUUUGCUUCCUGCAAGGAAUGUAUCUUGAAGUGUCAUAACCCUUCAGCUAGUGAUUCCUACUGUAGUGAAAACAGUGGCCCAUGGAAGCUGAGUUGCUUUGAUUCCUCUGGAAGUGAAGCUGAUACUUCAUGGAAUUCUUCAGCUGCUGGGGUUCUCCAGGGGGAUCCAGGAGGCAACAAGGAACCUUGAAACCAACGAUUAAAGUUUCCAAAUGGAGACAUCUCUGAUACUACAGUUCAAGCCCCCAUUGUUUGCACAGCAGGCAGCUGCAGAUGAGGCAGAGGAACCUGUGAUCGUGGCCACUAAAGCUACUGUCACAGCUGUUGACUAGCACAGUACUUGGCUUGUGGCCA